UCUUCCGCAUUUUUUGCUAUAUGCUCCUUCCAUCUUUGGCCUUCAUGGAGUUUGGCUGGGUUUGACUCUCUUCAUGGGCUUGCGCGCAGUCGCAGGCUAUGCCAGAUAUCUGUCAAAAUCAGGCCCGUGGUGGUUCGUGCACAGGGAUUUCCAGACAGCUCAGCUAGCCACUUGAGAUUGGCAAAAUCAAUUCGAUUGAAUGACAUCAUAGGCCGAGUAUCUCCCACAAGCCGAAGAGAGGUUUCAGCUGCGAAUUGCGCAUUUGUUUCAAUAUUUGUAUUACAUGAUUAUACGUUUUUAUAUUCAUUGAUAAUUUUUAGGUACGAAAAACAGACAUGAAUAUUCCUUAGUAUAUAUUCUUGUAAAUUACAGUUUACCAUAC